rnacentral:rRNA from 1 species
AAUAGAUACCCCGGUAGUCCACGCCGUAAACGAUGAGUACUAGUUGUCGGGGGUAUCGACCCCCUCGGUAACGAAGCUAACGCGAUAAGUACUCCGCCUGGGGACUACGGCCGCAAGGCUAAAACUCAAAGGAAUUGACGGGGGCCCGCACAAGCGGCGGAGCAUGUGACUUAAUUCGACGCAACGCGAAGAACCUUACCAAGGCUUGACAUACACCGGAAACGUCCAGAGAUGGGCGCCCCUUGUGGUCGGUGUACAGGUGGUGCAUGGCUGUCGUCAGCUCGUGUCGUGAGAUAUUGGGUUAAAUCCCGCAACGAGCGCAACCCUUGUCCCGUGUUGCCAGCAGGCCCUUGUGGUGCUGGGGACUCACGGGAGACCGCCGGGGUCAACUCGGAGGAAGGUGGGGACGACGUCAAGGUCAGUCAUGCCCCUUAUGUCUUGGGCUGCACACGUGCUACAAUGGCCGGUACAAUGAGCUGCGAUACCGCGAGGUGGAGCGAAUCUCAAAAAGCCGGUCUCAGUUCGGAUUGGGGUCUGCAACUGACCCC